rnacentral:rRNA from 1 species
AUCGAACGCUGGCGGCAGGCCUAACACAUGCAAGUCGAGCGGCGCGGCGGACGGGUGAGUAAUGCCUAGGAAUCUGCCUGGUAGUGGGGGAUAACGUCCGGAAACGGGCGCCAAUACCGCAUACUAUCAGAUCAGUCUCGGUCGGAUUAGCUAGUUGGUGGGGUAAAGGCCUACCAAGGCGACGAUCCGUAACUGGUCUGAGAGGAUGAUCAGUCACACUGGAACUGAGACACGGUCCAGACUCCUACGGGAGGAAGCAGUGGGGAAUAUUGGGCAAUGGGCGAAAGCCUGAUCCAGCAAUGCCGCGUGUGUGAAGAAGGUCUUCGGAUUGUAAAGCACUUUUAGUUGGGAGGCGUUACCAACAGAAUAAGCACCGGCUAACUACGUGCCAGCAGCCGCGGUAAUAC